GCCAGGGCUACACACGUGCUACAAUGGUCGGUACAAAGGGUUGCCAAGCCGCGAGGUGGAGCUAAUCCCAUAAAACCGAUCGUAGUCCGGAUCGCAGUCUGCAACUCGACUGCGUGAAGUCGGAAUCGCUAGUAAUCGUGAAUCAGAAUGUCACGGUGAAUACGUUCCCGGGCCUUGUACACACCGCCCGUCACACCAUGGGAGUGGGUUGCUCAAAGAAGUA
rnacentral:rRNA from 1 species